UACGUAGGGGGCGAGCGUUGUCCGGAAUCAUUGGGCGUAAAGGGUGCGUAGGCGGGUCUUUAAGUCAGGGGUGAAAUCCUGGAGCUCAACUCCAGAACUGCCUUUGAUACUGAAGAUCUUGAGUUCGGGAGAGGUGAGUGGAACUGCGAGUGUAGAGGUGAAAUUCGUAGAUAUUCGCAAGAACACCAGUGGCGAAGGCGGCUCACUGGCCCGAUACUGACGCUGAGGCACGAAAGCGUGGGGAGCAAACAGG
rnacentral:rRNA from 1 species